UUUGCUCUGAAAUUGUCAAAAUUGCAAGAUUGCCUUCAUGACAGAAAUUUAAAAUGAUGGAAAAGUACGAAUGUCGUCCCACAGGAAGACCUAGCACUACACUGUCAGAUGGUUCUUCUACCCCACUCCCAGAACUCUUCGCUACACCUCUACGUCCUCACCCUAGCCAGCUGAGAGGGGAACUGAGGCUGGCUUCCAAGCUCACCUAGUCAGCAAAGAUAGAGCUGACAGCUGAGUCCACGUGAGUCUGGCUGCGAAGGUCAUCCUCCUCCCACCACACCUCGCUGUCUCUAGCAGAGUCUGGGUGAUCCCUAUCAGGGUAAGCAUUCUUUCAAGUCAUCUGGAAGAACUAAAUCAACAUUCCGAAAUGAGUUUCGAAUGCUCCAUACACCUGAGAAGAAUAAAGGAUCUUUCCCACUCCUGCGGGGGUUCCCUCAGGAUCAGGUGCAGCGUGGCCCACACUUCACAUUGAUUAGUUCUUGUAAAGAAGCCAAAUUCCACAGCCCUCUCAUUGAACAUGGAGUUUAAAAUCCUUACUUGAGGAACUGAGGAAAUUCUCCCCAGCUAAAAAUCCAGCCCAACAGGAAAUCCAGGAAGAAAUAAAGAAAUGCUGACAAGGCAUGCCAGUCUGAAUUCCCUGAGCAGUUGGCCUGUUUGACUUUGUGUGAUGGUGGGCCAACCUGUGUGCCUGCCGGCUCACACCACCGUAGCUCUUCAAACACAUUCUAUAGAUCCCGCUAAUAAAUUCCGUUUGGCUGCAACCCUUUCCCAGUUCCAGGCAGUUGCCUCUGAAGUGUAAGUGCAGCCUGUCUUGAAGCCAGGCUACUGCCACUUACUGGUGAUCUGUACCUCUUUGCAAAACUAAUCUACGCUGCAUUUAAAGACAGGAAGCAGGGUUUGAAUGAAAAUGCAGUACCAUGGCUAGAGGACACAGCUCUCACACCUUCUGCAGCUCCAGAAUAAGUGCUAUGUUUUAAAAAUAUAUAUGUAUGUGUUGGCAACAUUGAAAAGGGGGCUAAAAAAACAUCCCCCACAGAAGUGAGAGCAGCAGCAAAAGAAACGUUAGCGCCCUGCUGACGGGAACAAUAGAGCAUAUGGACAUCACACUGUGCUUGCCAAGCAGACGAGGGCAGGAUGAUCAAAAUGGAGUCAAUCUGCUUCUCUAAUAGCAGAAGAAUCGCCUGCAUGAACACUCUCUCCAAGUGUGCACCGAGGCUCUUUAAUUGCCUGAGAAAGGAGAGAGGGUUUGGUUCACAUUUUAGCCAAGCAUAUGCCUUCCACUGGGUGCCUUUAUCUCAGAGCGCUUCCUGUGGGGAGUCUCAGGUGGCCACCAUCUGUGGAUCUACACACCUGAGACCUAGCACUAAGGCAGAACAUCACUCAGCAAGGGCUCCCGCACCAGAAACCAUUCUUGACUGUCCCUGGGGUGGAGCUGAUUCCACCCGAGGCAUAGAAAAAGUUCUACUACAAAGCUCAGCUCAGGAGGAGAGUCGUCACUGUCCUCCAAGCGACUUCCUGCUUCCCACCUAUUUCCUUCUAAACCCAAUCCAAUCCCUUUCCCCUUCAGGAAAUCGAGUAGCAUGAAAGGUUACAAACCUCAAGGUCAACCUUUUUGUGUGUGUGCAAAUUUUUCAUCUUUUGUUCAAUAGUGAUUGAAAGGGAAAUGCAGAUCGCUUGACACAGCCCAUCACUUUUUCUGAGAACCACCUGGAAAUAAAUUUCCUGUUGCUGUGAGUUGAAUUGUCCUUCUUACAACCAUGUUUGAUUGGCACUCUUGCAUCCUGUUUCCCUCCAUAAGGACUUUCCAACCCAAAAAGCACAGUGUGAGCAUAAGUAGAGGCCUUGUAUACUCUUUCCUGUGACUAAAGUAGUCUACACAAACACAACUCUGAAAUUUGGGUUUAAAGCACAAAAUGCUUCUCUGUUCUCUAGACUCAUGUAUCUAAGUGCCUGUUAAACAUUCUCAACUUGGAUGUCACACAGGGAUUCAAAAUUGUGUCACAAACAUAUUUCUCUCUCUGAAUCUCCACUGCCUCCUCUCCAGUCCAAAUUACAUCAUGUGUCACCUGGAAAACUACGAAACUCUCCCUCCCAAUUAGCAUUCUUCCAACCCUGAGCUCCCUUCCAUCUAUUUUCCAAACAAAAGAUAGAGUAUUUUUUAAACACCAAUUGUAUGACAUCACUUUCCUACUUAAAAUGUCUCAAUAAUUUCUCAUCACAC
ensembl:lncRNA